rnacentral:rRNA from 1 species
UACAGAGGGGGCAAGCGUUGUUCGGAAUUACUGGGCGUAAAGGGCGCGUAGGCGGCCUUCUAAGUCGAACGUGAAAUCCCCGGGCUCAACCCGGGAACUGCGUCCGAUACUGGAAGGCUUGAAUCCGGGAGAGGGAUGUGGAAUUCCAGGUGUAGCGGUGAAAUGCGUAGAUAUCUGGAGGAACACCGGUGGCGAAGGCGGCAUCCUGGGCCGGUAUUGACGCUGAGGAGCGAAAGCCAGGGGAGCAAACGGG